rnacentral:rRNA from 1 species
GCGAAGAACCUUACCUACACUUGACAUGCUGAGAAGUUACUAGAGAUAGUUUCGUGCCUUCGGGAACUCAGACACAGGUGCUGCAUGGCUGUCGUCAGCUCGUGUCGUGAGAUGUUGGGUUAAGUCCCGCAACGAGCGUAACCCUUGUUUUUAGUUGCCAUCAUUCAGUUGGGCACUUUAAAGAGACUGCCGGUGAUAAACCGGAGGAAGGUGAGGACGACGUCAAGUCAGCAUGCCCCUUACGCCCUGGGCUACACACGUACUACAAUGGUCGAGACAAAGAGCUGCAAGUCUGCAAAGACAAGCUAAUCUCAUAAACUCGGUCUCAGUUCGGAUUGCAGGCUGCAACUCGCCUGCAUGAAGGUGGAAUCGCUAGUAAUCGCCGGUCAGCAAUACGGCGGUGAAUCCGUUCCCGGGCCUUGUACACACCGCCCGUCACACCAUGGAAGCUAGCCACACCCAAAGUCGUUACCUUAACCAUUUGGAGGGGGGCGCCUAAGGUAGGGUUAGUGACUGGGGUGAAGUCGUAACAAGGUAGCCGUACUGAAGGUGCGGCUGGAUCACCUCCU